UACGAAGGGGGCUAGCGUUGCUCGGAAUCACUGGGCGUAAAGGGUGCGUAGGCGGGUCUUUAAGUCAGGGGUGAAAGCCCAAGGCUCAACCUUGGAACUGCCUUUGAUACUGUUUGGCUUGAGACCGGUAGAGGUAAGUGGAACUGCGAGUGUAGAGGUGAAAUUCGUAGAUAUUCGCAAGAACACCAGUGGCGAAGGCGGCUUACUGGACCGGUUCUGACGCUGAGGCGCGAAAGCGUGGGGAGCAAACAGG
rnacentral:rRNA from 1 species